rnacentral:lncRNA from 1 species
CUGAAUUGCACACGGAGCAAAUUAGGGAAGAGUGCAGCUUCGGAGGGGACAGCUGUGAGCGUGGCACGGUGCAGCAGUCGGCGCCACGGGCUGCUGACAGAGCAAGAUGCACACCGAAUUCAAGCACUCCUCCCCCAGUCAGAGAUCUCACUUCUUGCCAUCCCCGCCCUGGGAGGAUGUAGAGAACUGCAGAGCUGCAAGGACGAGAUGGAGACUGCCCGCAGGCUGGAGAGAAAAGAGAACUGGGUCAAAGAGAAGAACGCCAGGGGAAGAGAGGAGCCCAACGAGGAAGGCGGGAAAGAGAGGGAGGAAACCUGCCCCGAGGCAGCGCCGAGCUGGGCCGCGGCGGGGCGGCAGCGAGCAGGGGCUGGCGGCCUGAGGCCGGGACCGGGGCGCGGCGGGGAGUUCCGCGGGGCAGGGUGACACCUGCCGGGCGUGGGGGGGCGGCAAGAGCCCGGCUCAGCAGAACCAGGGCCGAGCGUGGAGCUGGAUGCGGCCGGCUCGUUGUGUGGAGGCUGAGGGGCGGCGUCGUGGCGGCUCUACGCGGGGAGCGGGCGGGCAGCGCUGAGCUCUGCUCUCUGUCACACCGACAGGGCCCGAGGGAACGGCACGGGGCUGCGUCGUGUUUUAAAAGCAGACGCAGUGCACCUCACUUGUGUCUGUGCCUGCUAAGAGCCCCGCCGUUGUCGGAUACACGCCGUGUUUACUGUUGCUCUUCUCAGGCUGUGCGGUUGACGAGUGAGAGCAGUGUGUCUGACACAGCUGAGCCGUGCAGGAGCCCACAGGUGGUCACAGUACAGAAAGGCACCUUGCCUGCUGCUGUGCUUCUCUCUGUGUGUCGUGAGGCCUUUUGUGCUCCAGGGAGAUAAAAUCCUCACCUGGGAAAUAGUGGAAGAAAGGACAUUGGGUGUUUGUCCCGUCCUUCUGAAACCACAGGAAGGCUUCGGGCAACUACUAGUGCUUCAGUAUCUUUGCCUUCAUUAAAAAGGAGGCUAAUCAGCUCAGUAGAACAGUCUGAUAUAUGUACACACAGACACACGUUUUUAUUCCAGGCCUGGCUAGGCAGCCUUAGCUUAAAGAAUCUGAGAGAAAAUUCGAUGAACAACAUUGGUUAACUGCAUGGUGAAAACACAUCCUCAAUCUCCUGCUUCCCGUCUGUCAGACUGUUGGACGACUUCAAGCCAGCUGACCAAAGUUCUUCUUUUUCCUAAGUUUGUUUCUCUUUUUCUUCGGUAUUUUUACAGUUCUUACCAGGCAACACAGGGUAAUUUUCAGUUUUGCUUUUCCAUUUGCUACUGUGUCCCAUUUUUUUUUUCUUAAAAACCAACAUGGCCAGGCCUGAAGCAUUGGUCUCUUCCUGAUGAGCUUACUCACUCAGCUGCUCAAGUGGGAUCCCAGCUGCUUGAGUAGUGAGAUGAGAUCUUGUUCCUACCUUUGAUGUUUUAGUGCAAGUAUUAUUUGUUUAUUUAUUUAAUUUCCCGAGAGUAAUAGGGAGAACCACAACGAGACUGUACAAAUAAAGGCUACAUUUUUCUCUUUUCUAUAGUACCUGGCGAAGAGAGCAGUGGUCCAGUACCAGAACAGAAUUUCCUUGGCUUGGAAGGCAGAAAGGAAGAAUGCGUCAUCAGGAGUUGGAGGCCUCCUUGAACUGUAGCUCAGAAGUGUGGGACUAGUGUCAUUCAUACCAGCUGAGGACUGAGAGCUCCCCAGGAAUUUUCCUUAAAAUAAACCAAAAACCAACGCUGUCUUCAAUGGAGAGAUACGCUGCAAAGAAAAUCGUAGCUGGCUGCAAAGGAAUCAUCUUUCCUGUUUAGACUGUAGAUUACCAGUGUCCAUUACUGAACUUUCUGGAUCAUCCCAUGUCAACACAAAAUUAUUGCUACACCCUACACAUGUCUCCAGGCCUUCACCAAAGAAAGUUUCUCUUUUUAGGGAUAUUCAGUGGUUGAAAAUGAACCAGAAGAAAGAACUUCAGAAGAAAGAGCUGGGAAGGAUAGAAGAGAAAAAUGAAGUGAACUUUAAGAAUAUUACCUGGCACACCAACUGAGGAAAUGCUGAAGAACUCUGUUUUAAGUAAUCAUUCACAUGAGUGCCUGUUUACCAGUCCAGUCCAACAGUGAGCAACUUCGAACAUUUACUCCUCUUGGACCAGCACAGCCAGCACCUGCAGCACAUCAUUCGCUGAGUUUCAGAGCUCUUGAGGACACCACAUGCCCAUGACCCUGCAGAAGAAACUGGAAAAACACCACUUCAACUUGUAAUUGGAUACAAGCUGUCUGAGAUGGAAAUUGAGAGCAAAGUUCUCUGUUUAUUUACGAGCCAGCACUGAUACCUGAAGCAUAAAGCAAGGCACCUUCAGAUCAAUGCCAGCAAACUCUCGACUAUAUUGGAAAAUCCUUCCUGCCACGGGACAAGCACGACCGUGUCCUCGUGUUCUUUCAGCGUAACCCCCACCUUGAUAACACUUGUCAUCUGAGCAGCUUGUAUGACAGGUCUGUGAAGUGGAUUACUACUGUCCACUAGAGGCUGUAAUGAGACCAACAAUGUCAUUUUAUGACAAAUUGAAGUCUUAGACUGUAAUGAUCGAUAAUUGUAAGAUUACUGUUCACAUGCAGUGCAUCGUCAAUCACUGGAUUUCCCUGAACGUGGAUGUUAAAAAAAAAAAUCCAACUUGUGUUACCUCUUACUUUCCCAUUUCUUACAGAUACUAAUUACAUAAAGCGUGCAUGUUGAUGGCACGACAUCAGUGCACUGAAAGACAGUCUCUCCUAGAUGACGUGCCUCCUGCAUGUCAAACUGAUGACUGUCUUUUGGUCAAGAACGCAUUCAGCUGGGAGUCUGACCAGUUUCAGCACGUUACUGGCAGGAGGCACUGCUCGAGUGGGUUCCUGUGUCCAACUCACACCGUCGUGCUGGAGCCCUGAUCUGUACGUUCUGCACUGCCACAGUGCCUCUCUCCAUUCUUAUUGUCAGAACUGUCCUGGUCUGCAAUUGUGUCUGUUUUCUGUAGCAAACGACUUUCACCUCUGGCAUAGUUCUGCACGUCUGGGUCAAUGGACUGCGCUGCCUUGACAGACAAUGAGGGACCUUUGUCCAGGCCGUGGCAGCACAUGAGAUCUCGCUCAGGUGCUGCUUCCCACCCUCGGUGCCCCCACCAUGCCGCGUGCUGCUCGCUUCUGGGGGAACGCUUUGAGCCCUGCCAUAGGCCCUCAAAAGAGGAACUGCAGAGGCAUAAUGGCAUCUUGUGACGUAGAAGAGCAUCCUGCGUGCCAGGCAAUGUCAGCAAAGGCACUGUCCCCUUAUCUCUGUUAUGUAACCACGUCAAAACGGAGGUGAGUUUGUGAACCUGAUGCGGCUGGCUGCAGUUACGGCACUUCCCCGGGACGUGGGCAGAGGCUGCCUGCUGGGAAAAAAAUACCGCUUUGGUUUACAACUGACUUACGCUCUUCCAACUCUGAAGCAGAAACAUGGACAAAGAUAUAAAAGGCCAGAGGCUGGUUCAUGGCAAAAAGUGUGGGUCCUGCGGCAAACACCAUAGCCACAGGAUGGAGGAACACACGAGCCUCUUACACGAGCCUGCCGCAGAAGGGAAAGUUGCCCAAAGCUUGCUUCAGCAUGAAUGUGGCUUCUCUUCCACGGCGUGUGCCACACCUCUUGGCAAGGUGGAGGUUUGAGAAGGAAAGAUUCCUUUCUCCUGAGGUAACAGGAGUACAACUGGAAUAAAAAAAGGUGGCAGGCGGGAGAAUGCCGCGUCUGCAGAACAGAAUGCAGAGGAUGGGGUGGCAACUUCUGCGGGGCCUCCACUUGAUUUCCAGCUGUCUCCAGCCUCUGCCUCUCUCCCAUGGUUCCUUUCAUUAAAUCAAUGAACCUUGCAUUAGCUGGGUGAGGAUAUUUUUGCUGUCUGCCACAUGGCUGUAGAUGCACCAUCUCGUUGCUGAGUGGCAUGUUCGUCCAGACAUCCGGGCCUGCUGCUGUCCCCAGAGCGCUCUGAAACAGGCAAGCACUUUGGGUUACGUAGCGAACCUGAUCCGGAGAGGUGGAAGUUGCACUGUUAAAAUACCUUUAUGCUCCUAAAGCCAGUCUGUGUGACAGUACCAACUCUCAGUCAAGAGCUGUGCAGAUUACCAUGUUGUUAGCACAUUCUCUAGGAAAUACAGAGGAUGAGUACAGUCAUUCAUAGAAGGGACUGUCUUGCUGAUCUGCAUACUGACAGAGCCCUAUGGUCUUUUGCAUGCAGACUAAUGCUAGAUCCAAUGCUAAAACACAGCGGUACUACCUGUGGACGCACACAUGACACAUCUGCACGGAGACAUCUGCUUGGAGCUCACAGCUGUGCUGGGGGCGGAUUGGAAGAGGCUCAGCCAACAGCCUGCCCUGGGCAGCCACAGCACAGGGAGCGCGCACGGUGCUCUCGGAGCCCUUUUGGGGCUGAGAGCCAGCCUCGGGGGCUUAUGCAGCAUUUCGUGCGGUGACUUCGGGGUGGGGAGAAGCUUUCUCAGCGCCGUGCCUCCCUUCCCGAUGCCAAAGCAGAGCGAGCGGUUCCCUGUGCGGCAGUCGGGCUGCCAGCAAGCAGAGCAGACGCUGCCCUGUGGCUGCGUUCCUCCCAUUCAUUUAUUCUGGGAGAGGCGGGCAGUGGUCUGCGCGCAGCCGGGAGAGACGCGCGAGGAUUCUGCCGGAGCGUGUGCGAGGAGCGCAGCGGGAGCGAGUACCCAAACAUGCGUGGUGCAGCCCUGCCUGCCUCGUAGUGCGGUGACGGAAUGAGUCAGAGCCUCUUUGGUCUGAAUGAAGUGGAAGGUACUCUCUACAAAGCAACUCGAGCAUAUGCCGAGGAUCCGGAAAAAUAAAACUAAUUCAGAAAACGGGAGUGGGAUGCGGGCUCCUGUUCUACGACGCUUCACAGCUCGGAACGGCAAAACGCAAUAUGGCAUCUUAAAUAAAAUCACCCUCCCCUGACUCUCACGGCGCUGCCUCCGAGCCGUCCCUGGCUCCCCGGCGCGCGUUUAUUUCCUCCCAUAGCGACAGCCCGGCCUCGGCCGGCGCUCCCGCAUCCCGCACGGCCGCUCCGCAGGACGGCGCGCCGCCGGCCUCGCUCUCCUCUCC